rnacentral:rRNA from 1 species
GACGGAGGGUGCUAGCGUUGUUCGGAAUUACUGGGCGUAAAGAGCGCGUAGGCGGCUUGGUAAGUUGGGAGUGAAAGCCCGAGGCUUAACCUCGGAAUUGCUCUCAAAACUGCUGAGCUAGAGUAUGGUAGGGGAUGGUAGAAUUCCUAGUGUAGAGGUGGAAUUCUUAGAUAUUAGGAGGAAUACCGGUGGCGAAGGCGGCCAUCUGGACCAUUACUGACGCUGAGGCGCGAAAGCGUGGGGAGCAAACAGGAUUAGAUACCCUGGUAGUCCACGCCGUAAACGAUGAGUGCUAGAUAUCGGGGAAUUAUUCUUCGGUUUCGCAGCUAACGCAUUAAGCACUCCGCCUGGGGAGUACGGUCGCAAGAUUA